rnacentral:rRNA from 1 species
GGAUGCCGAUCAUACCAGCACUAAUGCCACCGGAUCAUUUUAGAAACUCCGAAGUCAACGUGUGCUUUGGGCGAGAGUAUACGUAGGAUGAGUGACCCCCUGGAAUCCUCGUGUUGCAUCCC